rnacentral:rRNA from 1 species
UACGUAGGGGGCUAGCGUUGUCCGGAAUCAUUGGGCGUAAAGCGCGCGUAGGCGGCCCGGUAAGUCCGCUGUAAAAGUCCAGGGCUCAACCCUGGAACGCCGGUGGAUACUGUCGGGCUAGAGUCCGGAAGAGGCGAGUGGAAUUCCUGGUGUAGCGGUGGAAUGCGCAGAUAUCAGGAGGAACACCGGUGGCGAAGGCGGCAUCCUGGACCGGUAUUGACGCUGAGGCGCGAAAGCUAGGGGAGCAAACGGG